GCCGCGUGCAGGAUGAAGGCUUCGGGUUGUAAACUGCUUCUGUACGGAACGAAAAGGUCCUUUCUAAUAAAGAGGGCUCAUGACGGUACCGUAAGAAUAAGCACCGGCUAACUACGUGCCAGCAGCCGCGGUAAUACGUAGGGUGCGAGCGUUAAUCGGAAUUACUGGGCGUAAAGCGUGCGCAGGCGGUUAUAUAAGACAGAUGUGAAAUCCCCGGGCUCAACCUGGGAACUGCAUUAGUGACUGUAUAGCUGGAGUGCGGCAGAGGGGGAUGGAAUUCCGCGUGUAGCAGUGAAAUGCGUAGAUAUGCGGAGGAACACCGAUGGCGAAGCAAUCCCCUGGGCCUGCACUGACGCUCAUGCACGAAAGCGUGGGGAGCAAACAGGAUUAGAUACCCUGGUAGUCCACGCCCUAACGAUGUCACUGGUUGUUGGGAAUUCCUUUCUCA
rnacentral:rRNA from 1 species